rnacentral:lncRNA from 1 species
GUGCUUGCUACUCAGCCGGAUGGUCCAAGUUUGAUCACUGAGACCCACAACGCAGAAGGAUAGAAUUCACUCGUAACAGUUGUCUUCUGACCUCCACAGUGCAUGGCAGCAUGUGCCUCCUGCCAACAAUGAAAGAAUAAAUGAUUGUGCUUAUUGUAAAAGACGAAAGAAGAGAGAAGAAGGAAGCACUGUCUAGGCAAAGGAGAAAACAACCUUAAAAAAAAAGAAAAGAGAGAGAAAGAAAGGAAGGAAGGAAGGAAGGAAGGAAGGAAGGAAG